UUUUUUUUUUUUUUCCUAAUCUUUUGUUUUUUGGGUAAAAUUUGCAGCAUAGGACUUUGUACCAGUUGAAAAUUAUGGUACCAUCUAAAAAAUUAUCAUUUAUCUAGGUCCUUUUUUCUUGCUAAAUAUUUAGUACGAUAGGUGGUGGAAAUCUUUCUGCAUUUUCUUGUUUUGUUUUGAUAAGUUUAAUUAUAUAAUGUGCAGAGAACCUGGUUCAGUGGUUUUUCUAUGUCAGUUUUCUUUUUGUAGUUGGCUUAGCAAUGUAUUCCUAGAUUUCAGUAUCUCUUCAGAUUUUCCCUGUUUGUGCGAGGAUAUAUAUGCCUCAAAAUGACUUUUUUGAGGGUACUUCUGUACCCUGCCUGCAAUGUUCCUUGAUGGUUUUAGGAAGAAUCUUGUCAAAAGUUGUGCCUUGAGCUUGAACUGGGUUGGAUUUAUGGGUAAAUGGUCAUUGUUGAUAACAAGUCUGGUUGGGACUUAUAAAGCUAAAAUGAGAAAGAAUAACUGAUAUUGUUUUCACCUAAUAGUUGUCUACUUUUCUAUCAAAAUCCUUAAGCAUCAAAUGGUUUUUCUGUGAAGAAAUUAUAUGUGAUUGCAUGAAUGUAUGUUUAUGUACCCUGCUAGUAUAAACUAAUAAAUGUUAACAUCAGAGUUCUCCAUUUAAAAUUAUUUAUGGGGGAAUUGAUCUCUCUUGGUUUUCAAGAAGCCUUCACUUGUAACUAUGUUCUCCCUAUAAGUUCUAAUGGAGGAUCAAUGUCACAGAAACUAAAUCAGAGGAUCGAUA
rnacentral:misc_RNA from 1 species